rnacentral:rRNA from 1 species
AGAGUUUGAUCAUGGCUCAGAUUGAACGCUGGCGGCAGGCCUAACACAUGCAAGUCGAGCGGUAGCACAGAGAGCUUGCUCUCGGGUGACGAGCGGCGGACGGGUGAGUAAUGUCUGGGAAACUGCCUGAUGGAGGGGGAUAACUACUGGAAACGGUAGCUAAUACCGCAUAACGUCGCAAGACCAAAGUGGGGGACCUUCGGGCCUCAUGCCAUCAGAUGUGCCCAGAUGGGAUUAGCUGGUAGGUGGGGUAACGGCUCACCUAGGCGACGAUCCCUAGCUGGUCUGAGAGGAUGACCAGCCACACUGGAACUGAGACACGGUCCAGACUCCUACGGGAGGCAGCAGUGGGGAAUAUUGCACAAUGGGCGCAAGCCUGAUGCAGCCAUGCCGCGUGUGUGAAGAAGGCCUUCGGGUUGUAAAGCACUUUCAGCGGGGAGGAAGGCGAUAAGGUUAAUAACCUUGUCGAUUGACGUUACCCGCAGAAGAAGCACCGGCUAACUCCGUGCCAGCAGCCGCGGUAAUACGGAGGGUGCAAGCGUUAAUCGGAAUUACUGGGCGUAAAGCGCACGCAGGCGGUCUGUCAAGUCGGAUGUGAAAUCCCCGGGCUCAACCUGGGAACUGCAUUCGAAACUGGCAGGCUAGAGUCUUGUAGAGGGGGGUAGAAUUCCAGGUGUAGCGGUGAAAUGCGUAGAGAUCUGGAGGAAUACCGGUGGCGAAGGCGGCCCCCUGGACAAAGACUGACGCUCAGGUGCGAAAGCGUGGGGAGCAAACAGGAUUAGAUACCCUGGUAGUCCACGCUGUAAACGAUGUCGAUUUGGAGGUUGUGCCCUUGAGGCGUGGCUUCCGGAGCUAACGCGUUAAAUCGACCGCCUGGGGAGUACGGCCGCAAGGUUAAAACUCAAAUGAAUUGACGGGGGCCCGCACAAGCGGUGGAGCAUGUGGUUUAAUUCGAUGCAACGCGAAGAACCUUACCUGGUCUUGACAUCCACAGAACUUUCCAGAGAUGGAUUGGUGCCUUCGGGAACUGUGAGACAGGUGCUGCAUGGCUGUCGUCAGCUCGUGUUGUGAAAUGUUGGGUUAAGUCCCGCAACGAGCGCAACCCUUAUCCUUUGUUGCCAGCGGUCCGGCCGGGAACUCAAAGGAGACUGCCAGUGAUAAACUGGAGGAAGGUGGGGAUGACGUCAAGUCAUCAUGGCCCUUACGACCAGGGCUACACACGUGCUACAAUGGCAUAUACAAAGAGAAGCGACCUCGCGAGAGCAAGCGGACCUCAUAAAGUAUGUCGUAGUCCGGAUUGGAGUCUGCAACUCGACUCCAUGAAGUCGGAAUCGCUAGUAAUCGUAGAUCAGAAUGCUACGGUGAAUACGUUCCCGGGCCUUGUACACACCGCCCGUCACACCAUGGGAGUGGGUUGCAAAAGAAGUAGGUAGCUUAACCUUCGGGAGGGCGCUUACCACUUUGUGAUUCAUGACUGGGGUGAAGUCGUAACAAGGUAACCGUAGGGGAACCUGCGGUUG